AGCUAAGUGGCGCAGCGGAAGCGCGCCGGGCUCAUAACCCGGAGGGCGAUGGAUCGAAACCAUCCUUAGCUA
rfam:Rachicladosporium antarcticum strain CCFEE 5527 scaffold_20, whole genome shotgun sequence.